rnacentral:misc_RNA from 1 species
GAUGAAGAACGUAGCAAAAUGCGAUAAGUAGUGUGAAUUGCAGAAUUCAGUGAAUCAUCGAAUCUUUGAACGCACAUUGCGCCCCUUGGUAUUCCAUGGGGCAUGCCUGUUCGAGCGUCAUUUGUACCUUCAAGCUUUGCUUGGUGUUGGGUGUUUGUCUCGCCUUUGCGUGUAGACUCGCCUUAAAAUAAUUGGCAGCCGGCGUAUUGAUUUCGGAGCGCAGUACAUCUCGCGCUUUGCACUCAUAACGACAGCGUCCAAAAGUACAUUUUACACUCUUGACCUCGGAUCAGGUAGGGAUACCCGCUGAACUUAAGCAUAUCAAUAAGCGGAGGG